rnacentral:rRNA from 1 species
UGGGGAAUCUUGCACAAUGGGGGAAACCCUGAUGCAGCGACGCCGCGUGAACGAUGAAGCCCUUCGGGGUGUAAAGUUCUUUCGGCAGGAACGAUAAUGACGGUACCUGAAGAAGAAGCUGCGGCUAACUACGUGCCAGCAGCCGCGGUAAUACGUAGGCAGCAAACGUUGUUCGGAGUUACUGGGCGUAAAGAGUACGUAGGCGGUUUGCCAAGUUUGGUGUGAAAUCUCCUGGCUUAACUGGGAGGGUGCGCCGAAUACUGGCAGACUUGAGUAUUGGAGAGGAAAGCGGAAUUCCUGGUGUAGCGGUGAAAUGCGUAGAUAUCAGGAGGAACACCGGUGGUGUAGACGGCGUUCUGGACUGCAACUGACACUGAAGAACGAAAGCCAGGGUAGCAAACGGGAUUAGAUACCCCAGUAGUCCCUGAGCGGGCUGGCAAGGCGCAU